GCAGCCGCAUCCCCGCCCCGCUCCUGGUGCUGCUCCCGGCUCCGAUCCCGGUCCCGGCACCGCCACCGGCCAGCGCAGGGCGGGCGGCGCCGCGGGGGCCUCCCGCAGUGUCCGCGCGCAGCUGCUCGCCGCGCUGCCUGCCCGCGGGGAUGCCGCCCGCCGCCGUGUGUGCCCGCCGGGAUCGCGGCCUCGCUCCCGGAGGAAGCGGCGGGAGCGCUGUCGGUGCAGCCGUGUCCGCCCCGAGGGCACGAGGGGGAUGCGGCCAUCGCUGCCGCGCCUCACUCCGCCCAGAGCCGGCUCCCACCGCGCUAACCAGGACUGGGAGGGAAACAAAAUAAACCAGUGGCCCCUUUCA